rnacentral:rRNA from 1 species
UACGGAGGAUCCAAGCGUUAUCCGGAUUUAUUGGGUUUAAAGGGUGCGUAGGCGGCUUAUUAAGUCAGGGGUGAAAGACGGUGGCUCAACCAUCGCAGUGCCCUUGAUACUGAUGAGCUUGAAUGAACUAGAGGUAGGCGGAAUGUGACAAGUAGCGGUGAAAUGCAUAGAUAUGUCACAGAACACCGAUGCGAAGCAGCUGCCUAGACUGUAACUGACGCUGAGGCACGAAAGCGUGGGGAGCGAACAGG